rnacentral:lncRNA from 1 species
UGAUGAUGACUCUGUAACCAUACAGAAAAUCUGAAGUGAGUUGGUGACCUGUUUCUGGGACGGAAUGACCCUUUUGCAGAAAGCAGUAAAAGGGGUUGCGAAGUCAUGAUGCGUGAGUCUGGGACAGACCGGGCGAUGAGCGGCACUUACGAUGGACGCGACUCGGAGAUGGACGGGAGGCCCAGUGCGGAAGCCCCAGGUGCCCCUGAUCUCCCCCAUCUGCAGCAGCAGCAGCAGCAGCAACUACAGCUUCCAGUGUCAGUCGCCAUGACAACCCCCCAGGUCUUGACUGCACAGCAGAUGCAACAGAUGCUGAGCCCUCAACAAGUCCAGGUCUUGCUCCAGCAGCAACAGGCCCUUAUGGUACAGCAGCAGCACCUGCAGGAGUUUUACAAGAGUCAGCAGGACCAGCUUCACCUAAAUCUCCUGCAGCAGCAGCAGCCACAUGCAGGGAAGCCAGCUAAAGCAGUAAGUUGUGCUCUUGUAUGCGCUGACCAUGUGUGUCAUUCUCAGUCAGGAAACUGUGCAAGCAGUGUCAUUCACUGAGUCUGGGAAUCUGACCAGCUGUGUCUUUCAUUCAUUUGUUCAGUCAGGGAAACUGACCUGCAGUAGUAUUCACUCCGUCACUCAGUCAGCUGUCUGUCAAAGUGCACUGUUCAUCUGGCCAUCUAGCCAUUAAUUGAACUACAGGAAAAACAUGGAAGAGCUGUGAAUCUCUGGAGACUGACAUUUUGCUGCUAUUCCAUUUCUUUACGGUGCAGUCGUUCUAAGGUAUGUUAAAACACCCAAGGCUACAGGACUUACCAUUGCACAACUCUGAAAUGGUUCAGUAAAUGUCUGAUGUGUGCAUUAUACCGCAAAUUUGGCGAGUACCUCAAGAAUGGAAUUUCUGCUGCGCAAAUAAUAUAAUUUUCUCAGGGAAAUCCCUCACUCUCGACGGAAACCUGUAAACCCCCAUAAACAUGAAUCACGACAUUCGCCCAGCAGGGACACUUCAGCUAAUCACCUGUAUGUUUCAGCCUCACUUUGUGAUACAAGACACGUCUGCGGGCUGACACAAGAGCCCACACUUCCUCAACCCCGUCUUUCCAUCACCUUUCUGUCCCACUAGCACUUUUUAUGCUUAGGGAGGAAACUGAAACUGGAGGAGGUACAACAGCCAGCUGAAUGAAGACUUGCGUGUACUGUAGGAACACAGGAAACUCCUGCCCCUGGUCACAGCUCGGAUUUCUGGCAGCCGCCGAGGCCUGUUUUCCCCACAGUGGGUCUGUCUUUCAGCAGCUGCCUGGCAGUUAGUGACCCUCUGGCUGCUUUUUGCCGCCUGUGACAAUAAGAGCUUUCUGAGACCUUGAACUCUCUAUUCAGAGUGUGAGAUGAAAGGGUGAGUACUGUUCUGGCACCCACCCUCUCAAAGGUUGCUUGAUUUCACUGGAUGCUCUCUUAGUUCUGGAAGCUGCUGACUUGACCCCAGUUCAGAAGCAAGAAGGGGGGAGUAUAAGCCUUGCCCUCAGCGCAUCUGUCUGUGGGUGUGAAGGCUGUUUAAAUGCUGUCGUAAUGGCUGGGUUCCUCCUGAAAUCCAGUCACUGGCUUUGCAUUUAGAAGAAACUGCGAUGCGAAUCACUGACCCCAGUUUUCCAUACAUAGAAGGUAUGCCUUUAAAGCCUUUAAUAUAUACAAGAUGGACAAAAUAUUGAUGUUUCUGGGUUAAUAGAAUGUUGCCCACAGACCCUGUACUCCAGCAACAUUUGUCACAUAACAAAGUAGUUUACGUCAUUCGCAUUAUGAUUUUUGCCAUCUGGGUUCAUUAUAUGCCACAUACCCUGGUUAUUAAAGGAACAACCAGCCAAUGUCCACAACCGCUUGUCUUGAGCAGGGUCGCGGCAAGCUGGAGCCAAGCCGGCAACACAGGGUGCAGGGCCGUAGGGGGAGGGGAGACACCCUAGAUGGGACGCCAGUCCACCGCAGGGCUCGAACCCCAGACUGGCUAUACAGUGGGCACUGGCCAAACCUGCCAUGCCACUUCACCCCCCAUAGUGAACAGGAUUACAGUAAAUAAGUAAAACUCGAUAUUCAAAAUAUGAUAAAAGUGUAAUAAAAUCUGAGAAGGUGCUGUCGGGAAGUACUCU